CGUGUGUGAAAUGUUGGGUUAAGUCCCGCAACGAGCGCACCCCCUAUCCUUAUUUGCCAGCGCGUUAUGGCGGGAACUCUAAGGAGACUGCCGGUGAUAUACCGGAGGAAGGUGGGGACGACGUCAAGUCAUCAUGGCCCUUACGGGAUGGGCUACACACGUGCUACAAUGGCGUAUACAGAGUGCUGCAAUACCGCGAGGUGGAGCGAAUCACACAAAGUACGUCGUAGUCCGGAUUGGAGUCUGCAACUCGACUCCAUGAAGUCGGAAUCGCUAGUAAUCGUAGAUCAGAAUGCUACGGUGAAUACGUUCCCGGGCCUUGUACACACCGCCC
rnacentral:rRNA from 1 species